GUGGCAGUCCUUUGUGGUUUCAGCACUGAGCAGUGUGCUGUAACUGUCUUAACUCCACACAGAGUGAGGCUGGUUCCUGCCGACAGGGACUGUAAAGACAUUGGCUUCCCUGUGCGAUGGUUCCAUACAUC
ensembl:scaRNA Small Cajal body specific RNA 14